UUGAACGCUGGCGGCAGGCCUAACACAUGCACGUCGAGCGGAUGAAGGGAGCUUGCUCCUGGAUUCAGCGGCGGACGGGUGAGUAAUGCCUAGGAAUCUGCCUGGUCGUGGGGGAUAACGUCCGCACCCGGGCGCUAAUACCGCAUACGUCCUGCGGGAGAAAGUGGGGGAUCUUCGGACCUCACGCUAUCAGAUGAGCCUAGGUCGGAUUAGCUAGUUGGUGGGUUAAAGGCCUACCAAGGCGACGAUCCGUAACUGGUCUGUGAGGAUGAUCAGUCACAAGGGAACUGAGAAACGGUCAAAAAUCCUAGGGGAGGAAGAAGAGGGGAACAUUGGAAAAGGGGGGAAAGCCUGAGCCAGGCAGGCCGGGGGGGGGAGGAAGGUCUUGGGAUGGUAAAGAACGUUAAGUGGGGAGGAAGGGCAGUAAGUUAAUACCGUGCUGUUGUGACGUUACCAACAGAAUAAGCACCGGCUAACUUCGUG
rnacentral:rRNA from 1 species